rnacentral:rRNA from 1 species
GGAGUUAGCCGGUGCUUCUUCUGUGAGUGAUGUCCUUCCUGCCGGCUAUUAACCCGCAGGCCUUCUUCCUCACUGAAAGUGCUUUACAACCCGAAGGCCUUCUUCACACACGCGGCAUGGCUGGAUCAGGGUUGCCCCCAUUGUCCAAUAUUCCCCACUGCUGCCUCCCGUAGGAGUCUGGGCCGUGUCUCAGUCCCAGUGUGGCUGAUCAUCCUCUCAGACCAGCUACGGAUCGUCGCCUUGGUGAGCCGUUACCUCACCAACCAGCUAAUCCGACAUAGGCUCAUCCGAUAGCGCGAGGCCCGAAGGUCCCCCGCUUUCCCCCGUAGGGCGUAUGCGGUAUUAGCCUGGGUUUCCCCAGGUUAUCCCCCACUACCGGGCAGAUUCCUAUGCAUUACUCACCCGUCCGCCGCUCGCCACCAGGGAGCAAGCUCCCCGUGCUGCCGCUCGACUUGCAUGUGUAGCUGCGCCAGCGUCAUCUGAGCGAGAUACAACUACUGA